UUGGCUAACGUCAGCCUUCAAAACACCCCAAUGAGCAUCGUCACCUGUUACCAUCAUUUUCUUACUGAUCUAUCACUAACAUUGAUUACUUAAAUAAAAACAAUUUACCUGGCAAGCUAGCGUUAGCUUAAUGUAGUUACUGUUCAGUCACUUAACUUUAGCUAUGUUUUACUUUUUGUUGAAGCUAAAUUGACCAUAAGCCUACCUAACGUUAGCUACAUAAAACUGACAUUAGCAGUUUAUAAUCGGCUUUAACAGGGACUAAACACGUUCGAUGGACAUAUUGAAUCACAUUUGACUUUGAGAUCAAUACAAUUAUCAAUAUCACAAUAAUUUGAUUGGUACUUUUCCGUUUCAUGUUUAUAGCAAGGGCUACUUUGGUAAACUGUUAGUUGUUGUUUGCUUGUUUGUUUCACUAGCUAGUUAUCCCUCAUUAAAAAGGUGGUUCUUGCUAAGAAUAUCACCAUCUUCUACAAAAUGUCAGGAAUACACCGUGUUCAUUGCAAAACAGUAGUUUGCAAUACUAAAAAUACUGCAUCCUCACAAAAGAGCAGUAUUUUUUGUUAGUAGCUUUCACAUAGUGUGUCUGUUUUUAUGUUGGUAUGAUGUAUAGUGGAAGAUCAGAAAACGUGGGCAGGAGUUGGGAGAGAAGGCAAUGCAAAGAUAAAGGACAUCAUACCACAAUAAUAGUUGUGUGUGUGUGUAUAAGCCUGAUCAACAAGUGAAAAGAGUCAGAUAAGAGGAAAGAGUUUGACGACCACUGCUGAAUUGGCCUGCUCAGAGGAAGAGGCACUAAUGAUUCCAGAAAACAGGAAGCCAAAGAAGAAGCCCUACACAGACUUUGAAAUGGAUCUCUCAAUUGCCAUGAUGACCAAGAUAUUCAACGGGGAAAUGUGGAAAGCUGUCAUAUUCCCAGUCAUUACUUUGCCACACGGCCAAUAAUCGAGAGACACCC